GGGAUGACAAGAUUCUGAUUUCCCACUUCAGUGGCCAAGCCUGUAUCUCUUUAAGAACCAAUGCUCUAAGAAACCUAGGAUCGUGAACUAAGCCGAAGGCAGAUGCAUAACCUACUGACCCACCCAAGCUCCAGUUCUGGAGGCUGGAAGUCCAAGAUCAGGAUGCCAGCAUGGUUCUGGUGACAACCCUCUUCCAGAUAACAGACUGAUGACUUGUAUCUUCACGUAGUAGAGAGAAGAGCAACUCAAAAAACCAGAAACCUUGAAGAAGUUAAUCCUAACAUGUCAUGUGAAAGACAGCAUUACAUCACCUACUCUUUGAAGAUGGAAAAAGAAAAUAAAUUUGAGGAUUGAGAACAAGCCCUUAGUAAAAGAGAGCAUAUCAUCUUCACCUGUUAUUGCUCUCCUGACAAAGAUCUGCAUAACUGAGUGCUAAAUGAGUACCCACAAUGUGCCUUUUUAAAUUCAUUUUGAAUAGUGUUGGCAAAUGAGGCAAUGUUGCAAAAUAUAUUACCCUGAGCUAAGACCCUGGGA